GAAAUCCCUUACUAAUUUUAUCCCCAAAAUUUACCCAUUGAAACCCCUAAAAUUUUCCCUUAAAAUGGGUAUCCCCAAAACACAUCUAAUUUUUCCCCAAAUCAAAAUCCCCAAAUCAAAAUCCUUCCAUCAUUUCAAUGUCGCCAUACUGAUCCGUAACCCUCAGCAUCUUUCUCACUGCAUUUCCUGUUUCUCUAAAUCUCCAUCUCUAAAUCUCCAUCCCUUUGAUUUUCGCCGAAAUCUAGUAAGUCUAAGUUCAAAUCGAAGCAUUUGCAAUCUGUUCCCUUAUUCAUAGGUUAUGAUGGCCUUCUGUUUUCGUACCUUCGUUUUUCCAACUAAUUUGUCCAUCAAAGCGAGAAGUAAUGGUGUUCGGAAGCUUCAAACAGAGGGGCACUCUUCUACCAAAAGCUCCCAAGGGUUGGGGAAGGAGCUGUGUUGUUUGAUGAACUUGCUGAUCUUCUUCAAAAUAGCGCCUUGAGAGUAGCUGCCAUGAAUUCUCUGUUUUCAUUUAACAUGAAUUUGUAAAAUGGCAUAUAAGUGUUUGUUGCUUUGUCUCUAUGUAUCGUUCUUUCUAACAUUUUAACGAGUGUAAUAUGUUUCAUUAGUUUAAAAAAUUCGGUGUUUUACGAUCGGCAAUUUUUAUAUCUGUUUUAGAAACUUAUAUUUUUUGAUCGGCGAUGGGAAAGAAAGGGAGUGGAUGGUUUGCGACGGUGAAGGAAGUGUUCAAAUCAUCUCGCAAAGACUUGCCAGACAAAAAAUGGUGUAAGGCCUUUUGGUGUAUCUCUACUGGUUGCUGGGUAUGACGACAAUGGUCCACAAUUGUAUCAGGUGGAUCCAUCUGGUUCCUAUUUCUCAUGGAAAGCCUCAGCAAUAGGGAAAAAUGUCUCAAAUGCAAAAACAUUUCUUGAGAAAAGAUACACUGAUGACAUGGAGCUUGAUGAUGCUGUGCAUACUGCUAUUUUGACUCUCAAAGAGGGAUUUGAAGGACAAAUCUCAGGGAAAAACAUUGAAAUUGGGAUUAUUGGAACUGACAAAAAAUUCAGGCAAGC